ACUAUCUACAGUGAUAUACUGCAAGUUUUGCAAGUAUAGCAAUUGCAUUACAUACAAUGCAGAAUAAUAUGGUAAAUUUAAAUAUUCUUAUUUUUUUCUGUUAGGCAGAAGACAAAUGUAGAAAGGAAGCAUUCAGAAAAGGUUUUAAUCUCUCAAGAUCACUAACCCUGGUAAAUUAAUAUUUUCAUAACCUUUGUUCAUUACUUUACAUAAAUAAUCUCUUAUUGUAAGAAUGAUCUUCUUUUGCUGUGGUUUUCAUUGUGUUCUUAAGAAGCUGUUACACUCACUGUGCUCUGCUUUUUUCUGGAAAAUAUUUGGGAACUAUUCCAGAAAACCCUAGGAAGAGCUGUAAAAGAAGAGGAAAUGGUGAAGGAGACGAGUACAAAAUAGCAACAAGAGUAUUGGAAUUGUUUGACAAAUACAUUCGUCAGUUGGAACUGAAGAUGUUAUCAGCUGAUUUUCCAGAAGUGGGGGAAGUAUUUAAGGUUUCUUUGCACUUUAUGAAGAACUUCCGAACUUACAUGCACAAGAAGAUGACUUUGCUACAAGAAUAGAGAACAGGAAAGAAACUGGGUGUGAUGGGGAGCUUCAUAAAAUUGUAACAGAAACAACAAAUUGAACGGCUUACAUUUCUGUCUCUAUGUCUGUUCUAGUUUGUGCAUAUUUAGUUUUUAUGAAAACCAUUUUUUGUUGUUUCCAAAUCAUAAAAAACAUAUUUCCUUUAAGUUAUACAUAUGUGACUUCUUUAUAUUAAUUUGGCACAAAGUUGUAGUAAACUGGGAAGUUAUUUUGUUUUACUGAUCUUAGCCAGUGAUUCUUUUAUUUAGACAUUAUACGUUUCUAUGCAUUCUAAAUAAAUGUGGUAUGCAAAGAA